AUGAGACACCUUCUAAACUUAGAGAGCAUGCAGAGCACCGUCCAGCAGGACCAAUAUUUGCUGAACUGAACCCGUGACCCCCAGGGCCAGAGAGAUGGGCCAGGGAUCCUCCAUGCACUGAGGGCUCGACUGGGAGGAGCAGGAGCUCAGCACUGGCUGCUUUUAGCAGAAUUAAAUGGGGAAAAUCGUUUCAUGA